UAAUAUUAAAAUGCAGAAUAAUUAAACUUUUUAAAGGAAACAUAAGAGAAAAUCUAAGCGAUCUUGGGUUUGGUGAUGACAUUGGAAUAUGAUGACAAAAGCAUCACCCAUGAAAGAAAAAAUUAAUGAAUUAGACUUUAUUAAAAUUAAAUGUGCUCUUAGGGGCGCCUGGGUGGCGCAGUCGGUUAAGCGUCCGACUUCAGCCAG